GGCAACCGUCGAUAGGGGACCUCGNUGCUGGGUUACAAACCUGGCUGUUGGGCUGCCUAAAAAGCAGUCUAUAGCAAGGGCCGGGCAAGACCGGUGCCAGCCGCCGCGGUAACACCGGCGGCUCGAGUGGUAACCGCUAUUAUUGGGUCUAGAGGGUCUGUAGCCGGCCGACUAAGUCUCUUGGGAAAUCUGGCAUCUCAAGUGUAAGGCUGCCAGGGGAUACUGGUCGGCUUGGGACCGGGAGAGGUGAGAGGUACCUCGGGGGUAGGGGUGAAAUCUUGUAAUCCUCGAGGGACCACCAGUGGCGAAGGCGUCUCACCAGAACGGAUCCGACGGCAAGGGUCGAAAGCUAGGGGCACGAACCGGAUUAGAUACCCGGGUAGUCCUAGCCGUAAACGAUACUCGCUAGGUGUCGGCCACGGUGCGACCGUGGUCGGUGCCGUAGGGAAGCCGUGAAGCGAGCCACCUGGGAAGUACGGCCGCAAGGCUGAAACUUAAAGGAAUUGGCGGGGGAGCAC
rnacentral:rRNA from 1 species